rnacentral:rRNA from 1 species
CUUCGGGUUAUAUGGUCAAGUGAAUAAGCGUGCACGGUGGAUGCCUUGGCAGUCAGAGGCGAUGAAG